AAACGUUUUUCAAGUUAUGAGCUGUCCCUCGGUCCGUUUUUUGAUUCGUAUAAACGAGAAACAAAUUGGACUUACAGGUGAGCUUUUUUUCUAACCAUGAUGUUAUAUUCUGCCCUCCCUGAGAAUGCCAUGUGCUGUUUGGCAGAUAGCAAACAGCUUUUCAAAAAAGUGUGCUUGCUUCAAGCUGUUAAUUGCCACUGCCAGUGAAGGAUAACUGUAAAACAUAAAACAAAGAUAAUUGUACUUUGUGUAUUUAACCAAACCACAUAACUUGGCCUUAAAAAAGUCUGCUAGCUAAAUUCUAACUAAAGUAAAACGCCAUAGACAUGCUAACGAAACUAGCACCGAUGGUGUUCAAACAGAUUACAAUGAACCUCCUUAUAUAUGUAUAUAUAUAUAUAUAUAUAUAUAUAUAUAUAUAUAUAUAUAUAUAUAUAUAUAAACCCCUCCACCACUAAAGUGACGGCUUCCAGCAGGGGGUGUGUAUAUUAAUGAGGGGAAAAAAUAACAAAUGAUUUUAGCAAAUUGCUGCAAUAUAACAAAGAGUGAAAAAUUUAAGGGGGUAUAUAUAUCCACAGUUAUUUGGUGAAAAACUAUUGAGUUGAAAAACUCUAAACAUCUUUUCUUUUUUUGUGCUGAGGCCAAAGCAAUAAAAGUACUGAUUUGCUGCCAUCUUGUUUUAUUUAAGUACCCUUGAACUAUGUUAAAGUGAAUUGAGGAGUCAUGUUAAUUUUAUUUAUAUUGCGCUGAUUCACAACAGAAGUUCAUGGACAGAGGGUAGCUACAGAGAAAACUGGAUAGAGGGAAGAAACGAGAGAACAAUUGGCACAACAACAGCCGAGAAAGACAAAUGGGUUCAUAACAUACAUGGUUGGUGAUGAGGUGGGAAGGGUAGAGGAAAAGAGGAAGGGAAGCUUGGUGUGUCAAUGGAGAUCAUUGGCAUGGGAGCUUAAAAAAUGAGUGCUUUGCUCCCAUCUUCUGGCUUCUUGGUGCCAAGGAACUAUGUUGUAGUCAGUUGAGGAGCCUCAUGAGAAAAAAAAUUGAGCUUUGCUGUCAUCUAGUGGGCAGCAUGGUGGUCAACUGAUUAGCACAUCUGCCUCGCAGUUCUGAGGACUGGGGUUCAAAUCCCGGCCCCGCCUGUGUGCAGUUUGCAUGUUCUCCCCGUGCCUGCGUGGGUUUUCUCCGGGUACUCCAAUUUCCUCCCACAUCCCAAAAACAUGCGUGGUAGGUUAACUGGGGACUCUAAAUUGCCCGUUUGUGUGAAUGUGUGUGUGUGAAUGGUUGUUUGUUUCUAUGUGCCCUGCGAUUGGCUGGCGACCAGCUCAGGGUGUACCCCGCCUCUUGUCCAAAGAUAGCUGGGAUAGGCUCCAGCACGUCCGCGACCCUCGUGAGGAUAAGCUGUACAGAAAAUGGAUGGAUGUAAUCUAGUGGCAUCUUUGUGCCAAGGAACUACAACCCCAAUUCCAAUGAAGUUGGGACAUUGUGUUAAACAUAAAUAAAAACAGAAUACAAUGAUUUGCAAAUCAUGUUCAACCUAUAUUUAAUUGAGUACACUACAAAGAUGAGAUAUUUAACGUUCAAACUGAUAAACCUGAUUGUUUUUAGCAAAUAAUCAUUAAAUAAUUUUAUGGUUGCAACACGUUCCAAAAAAGCUGGGACAGGUGGCAAAAAAGACUGAGAAAGUUGAGGAAUACUCAUCAAACACCUGCUUGGAACAUCCCACAGGUGAACCGACUAAUUGGGAACAGGUGGGUGCCGUGAUUGGGUAUAAAAGGAGCUUCCCUGAAUUGCUCAGUCAUUCACGAGCAAAGAUGGGGCGAGGUUCACCUCUUUGUGAGCAAGUGCGUGAGAAAAUGGUCGAACAGUUUAAUGACAAUGUUCCUCAACGUACAAUUGCAAGGAAUUUCGGGAUUUCAUCAUCUACAGUCCAUAUCAUCAUCAAACACCAAACCUAUAAUUCCAUUACAACAAGCUGGCAAUUUUUUGACUUGAGUUCGUUGUCACAUUUCUGUGGGGCCAAUUAUGUAUUACUCGUGCACUCACUGUAGUUGUCUCGCCGUGCUGCACUAUUUGCAUAUACUGGCCACUCAUGCUAGAGUAGCAUCUGCUCCAUUUUCACACUGAUUGAGGAGUAUCUGUAACAUUUGCACAACCAACAUUGUCCCAGAUUAUCGCACUACUCGUCACUUUAAACCGCAUACACUCCUUGAAGUCUCAGCGCCCUUUGCACAAUGGUCAUUGCACCGGACUAUUGCAAUAUUAGUCAUUCGACCUGCUCUAAGUGCUAGAGGACUCUGCAUCUUUUUGCACAAUUGUUUUUUGUCAAUGUCUUUACGUCUCCAAAGUGUUCUGUAAAUUGACUGUCUGUUGUACUGGAGCGGCUCCAACUACCGGAGACAAAUUCCUUGUGUGUUUUGGACAUACUUGGCAAAUAAAGAUGAUUAUGAUUCUGAUUCUGAUUCUGAAAAGGUUCAGAGAAUCUGGAGAAAUCACUGCAUGUAAGCAGCAAGGCCAAAAUCCAACAUUGAAUGCCCCUGACCUUCGAUCCCUCAGGCGGCACUGCAUCAAAAACCGACAUCAUUGUGUAAAGGAUAUCACCACAUGGGCUCAGGAACACUUCAGAAAACUAAUGUCAGUAAAUACAGUUUGGCACUACAUCUGUAAGUGCAACUUCAAACUCUACUAUGGAAAGCAAAAGCCAUUUAUCAACAACACCCAGAAAUGCCGCUGGCUUCUCUGGGCCCGAGCUCAUCUAAGAUGGACUGAUGCAAAGUGGAAAAGUGUUCUGUGGUCCGACGAGUCUACAUUUCAAAUUGUUUUUGGAAAUUCUGGACGUCCUGUCCUCCGGGCCAAAGAGGAAAAGAACCAUCCGGACUUUUAUGCACGCGAAGUUCAAAAGCCAGCAUCUGUGAUGGUAUGGGGCUGUUUUAGUGCCAAUGGCAUGGGUAACUUACACAUCUGUGAAGGCACCGUUAAUGCUGAAAGGUACAUUCAGGUUUUGGAGAAACAUGCUGCCAUCCAAGCAACGUCUUUUUCAUGGACGCCCCUGCUUAUUUCAGCAAGACAAUGCCAAACCACAUCCUGCACGUGUUACAACAGCGUGGCUUCGUAGUAAAAGAGUGCGGGUACUAGACUGGCCUGCCUGCAGUCCAGACCUGUCUCCCAUUGAAAAUGUGUGGUGCAUUAUGAAGCGUAAAAUACGACAACGGAGUUCCGUUGGAACUGCUGAAGCUGUACAUCAAGCAAGAAUGGGAAAGAAUUCCACGUACAAAGCUUCAACAAUUAGUGUCCUCAGUUCCCAAAUGUUUCUUGAAUGUUGUUAAAAGAAAAGGUGAUGUAACAGUGGUAAACAUGACCGUGUCCCAGCUUUUUUGGAACGUGUUGCAGCCAUAAAAUUCGAAGUUAAUGAUUAUUUACUAAAAACAAUAACGUUUAUCAAUUUGAACAUUAAAUAUCUUGUCUUUGUAUUGUCUUUGAUUAAAUACAGGUCAAACAUAAUUUGCAAAUCAUUGUAUUCUGUUUUUAUUUAUGUUUAACACCACGUCCCAACUUCAUUGGAAUUGGGGUUGUAUGUUGAAGUGAGUUGAGGAGGCUCAUUUAAAAAAAUGUGUUUUGCCACCAUCUUGUGGAAUUUUGGUGCCAAGGAACUAUGUUGAAGUAAGUUGAGGAACCACCAUCUUCUGGCAUCUUGAUGCCAAUGAAAUAAGAUGAAGUGAGCCGAGGAGCUCUAUUUAGACAAAAGUUGUUCUUUACUGUCAUCUUGUGGUAUCUUUUGGUAGUUAUAAAACUUUUCAGUCAAUUACUCGCAGAUUUUUGCUACUCACGACAGGGUUCUGUCCCUAUUCGGAGCGAAUAGCAGGGAUUUACAGUAAUUCUUCAUUUAAAUGGGAAAAUUGACCUUAGUCCGCAAGCAUUUCGGUCCGUGAACAGUCUCGAAAUGAAUUAAGUUUCGUGAACAGAGGUUGGACUUUACUUCAUUGACACCAAUUACUACUCUCCCAUUCAGCACGGCUUCAGCGCCAUUUAGUUCAGAGAGAGAACAAAAUAGAGCAAAAAGCUGAGGAUAAGUUUUCGCGAAAAGAAAAAAAAAAAACUUAACUCUGACAUAGCGCUUACGCUCGGCCUUUCAGCUGCACCUGUUCCCCCUUCCCCCCUCCUCCUCCUGCCCGGAUCACGCCUCCUUUACCUCUCAAUCCAUCCCCCCACCUCCCAAGCAGAGUCCCUUCCGUGGUUUUGGGCCUCUUGCCAGCUCUGCCCCCUUUUUUUUUGAGUGAUGACAUCAUCAGCUCGCUGCCGGCAGGCCUGGGUGUUCUGCCAGUGUUCCGAAGCGUGUGUGAUGGCUCGCUCGCAGAUGUGUGUCCAGGAACACACUGUACCCAAAUGCAGACUUAAUCAGACCUGACUGCUACCCCAGCUACUUUAUCCAAAAUAGAGAGCGAGGAGCAGAAGGGAGGGAUUGGGUGAUGAUAAAGGGUGUGUGUGUGUGGGGGGGGGGGGGGGGGGUCUAUAUAAUCAGGGACUAAAAAUGCAACUAAAACACAAAGCUUAACUGUGUACAGACAUUGUUUCCGUGCAUGUUAGCAUCCUGCUGCCAGCUGAGAGAGGAUCUUUAAACUUCCCCUGAGUCGUCUCUUUUAUUGUCAUCCGCACACACAUGCACACGACAUGCUUUGUUUGCAGCACCUUUAACCUGAGAGUUUUCCGAGCCCGUAACGCGACAUGAAAAACAAACAAAAAGGAUGCGGAUCUCAUUUCUGUGUCGCUGAGUAUUUGGGUAGAGAAGCCUCAGAUCCCGCCGGUUGCUAAGGAGCGAGCGCUCCGCCGCUCUAAUGGGCUGAUUUGGUAUGCAGCUCGACGCCGGCUCUUAUUUUGGUAUGCCAGACAAAGUGUUUUGAUGGAGGACGAUUGCAGCCGCGUCUGGAGACGGUUUGAUGGUUUAUGGAUGAGAGCACACUCCGUGCCUUUGACUGCACAAGACAAUGCACUAUGUUCUUUCUCCGUGCCUUUCCCUUAUCACACGGAUCGCACACAGCACAGCACAACACAACACAACCACUGGACGGCGUCACACAACAUUAGGAUCUCCAGCUGCUGUAGUGCCGCUCGUGUGUGCAAACUAUAAAAGAUGAACAGAGGGGAGCUUUUUUGUGUUGUUUUGUUUCGGCAAUGGUGACACCAUGUAUUGUGUGCGUGUGUGUGUGUGUGUGCGCGUGCGUGCACAGAGUUGAAAGAGGACCACAUUUAGGGCUGCGGCGUUCUGAGUUCCCAAAGCUUGUGGGUGUUUUAAUGAGUCAUUUUAACUUCAUUUAAAGCCAGCUGAGCAGAAAAUAGAUCAGUGAAUGAGCCCAGGGCCAGUAUGGAUCUGCAACCGAUUUACAUGUCUGUGAGAGCCAACCCACAUCCAAAGAGCUGUGCGUGUGUAUGUGUCUGUGGGCACAGAGCGGAACCUCCAAAUUGGAACACAAUCCGUUCUGUGAUACUGGUGGACUUUGACUUGAAUUUGUUGUUAUUUCAAAUACCAGUACUGUACAGUUAACCCUCUCUAUUCCCAGAUGUCAAUGACCAAGCCCUUGCCACUAAAUGUUGAGAAUUACAUUUAAAACAUGAAAUACUUUCAAAAUAUUAGAAUGAAGCUUAAGUUGUAGUGAUGCAAACACUACAGUAUUUAUUUAUUUUUGUUACUUUUUAGGUACACAACAUGUUUAAAGACAGAUUACAUGUAAAUGUGUUGUACUGCACAAAAACCUCAACAACUGAAGCAAGAACUGUUUGUUGCAAACAUUUAGAUUUUCACAAUUGCUAAAACACUAAACCAUUUCUCUGAACCAAAUUCUUAGUAGCCUAAACUAAUUUUUAAAAUCAAACACUCUUUUGGCCAAACCUUAAACACUGUUCAGGUACUUUGACCCGGUUUGCAAAACUCAUAUUUUUUUUUUUACAAAUCCUUAGACACAUUCUCAAUCACUAAUUACACUUCACACUGUGAUACACUUGUGUUGCAAAAUUGUAAGCACUGGCUGCACAAUGUGAACAACUAACACCAUUGUCAUCUUUUACACACAACUGAAAAUUGAACACAAGUUUCUAAUGGUAUGACCAGACCAACUGGGCAGCCUAAAAUUCAUUUCAGAGUGCACAAGUGGCAUGUGUUUCCAUCUACAAUGGACAGAAACAUACAGAGUGGCUGAGGAGUCCAUAUGAGAGGUGGUGGAAAAGGAGGAAGAGGCAGAGGAAGACCAAAAACUAUCAUCACCGAUGAAAUUUGGGCAACUAUUGUACACCAUGUCCUUAUUUGUGGGAUGAAAAUGACAGAAGUAAGACAGUGACCAACCCAAUUAGAGCAGAUUCUCUGGGCCCAACCUCAUCAGGACAUUCAGAGAAGAGAACAGAUGGAUUUUCCUCUUUGUCGAAUUGAAAGACGACCAAAUGAGGGUGGAAGGACUGCUCCUUCCUCUCAACAACAAGAAGCAUUUUCACAUUGUCCUUCAACAUAGCGCAAGUCGACUAUUUAAUCCAGCAGAAAGUGACUGAAAUAUUAUCUUUGAUGUGGAUGUGAAGUCCUCUGGCCGGACCCCUCACAAAGACAACAUGUUGGAGACUGAAUCACAGUGACUUUGACUAGUCAGUAAUGUGAUUUUCUUUGUUUGUUUGUUUGUUUGUUUGUUAUGAAAGUGUUAAAUGUAGAUAUCACUUUGACUAUCAGAUUUUUUUUGCUGAAUGUAUUUACAAUAAAGAUUUUCUGUUAUCUACAGUACAUGCCCUGGA